GUCCACGCCGUAAACGAUGAACACUAGUUAUUGGGGGUAUUGACUCCCUCAGUGACGCAGCUAACGCAUUAAGUGUUCCGCCUGGGGGAGUACGGCCGCAAGGCUAAAACUCAAAACAAUUGACGGGGGCCCGCACAAGCGGUGGAUUAUGUGGUUUAAUUCGAAGCAACGCGCAGAACCUUACCUAGGCUUGAACUCCUCAGAAUUCGACGUAAUGGUUGAAGUGCCCGCAAGGGAAUUGAGUGAGAGGUGCUGCAUGGCUGUCGU
rnacentral:rRNA from 1 species